AUGACCGCCUGGCCUCCUACCUGGAGAGUGAGGAGCCUGGAGACUGAGAACCCGAAGCUCAAGAGCAAAAUCCUGAAAAGCAAAAUCCGGGAGCACCUGGAGAAGAAGGGACCCCAGGACAGAGACUGGAGCCAUUACUUCAAGACCAUCGAGGAACUGAGAGCUCAGAUCUUCACAAAUAUUGUGGACAAUGCCCACAUCGUUCUGCGGAUAGACAAUGCCCGUCUUGCUGCUGAUGACCUUAGAGUCAACUGCAGCAGGGAGACAGAGAUCGAGGCUCUCAAAGAGGAGCUGCUCUUCAUGAAGAAGAACCAGGAAGAGGAAGUAAAAGGCUUACAAGCCCAGAUUGACAGCUCUGGGUUGACCAUGGAGGUAGAAGCCCCCAAAUCGCAGGACCUCACCAAGAUCAUGGCAGACAUUCAGCCCAAUACGAUGAGCUGGCUGGGAAGAACCGAGAGAAGCUGGACAAGUACUGGUCUCAGCAGAUUGAGGAGAGCACCACAGUGGUCAUCACGCAGUCUGCUGAGGUUGGAGCUGCUGAGAUGACGCUCACGGAGCUGAGACAUACAGUCUAGUCCUUGGAGAUCGACUUGGACUCCAUGAGAAAUCUGAAGGCCAGCUUGGAGAACAGCCUGAGGGAGGUGGAGGCCUGCUAUGCCCUGCAGAUGGGGCAGCUCAACGCCAUCCUGCUGCACCUGGAGUCAGAGCUGGCACAGACUCGGGCAGAGGGACAGCGCCAGGCCCAGGAGUACGAAGCCCUGCUGAACAUCAAGGUCAAGCUGGAGGCUGAGAUUGCCACCUACUGCAGCCCACUGGAAGACAGGGAGAACUUCAAUCAUGGUGAUGCCCUGGACAGCAGCAGCUCCAUGGAAACAACCAAAAGUCCACCACCUGCAGGAUAGUGGAUGACAAAGUGGUGUCUGAGACCAAUGACACCAAAGUUCUGAGACAUUAA